AGAGUUUGAUCCUGGCUCAGGACGAACGCUGGCGGCGUGCUUAACACAUGCAAGUCGAACGGUAAGGCCCUUCGGGGUACACGAGUGGCGAACGGGUGAGUAACACGUGGGUAAUCUGCCCUGCACAUCGGGAUAAGCCUGGGAAACUGGGUCUAAUACCGAAUAGGACCACAGGACACAUGUCCUGUGGUGGAAAGCUUUUGCGGUGUGGGAUGGGCCCGCGGCCUAUCAGCUUGUUGGUGGGGUGAUGGCCUACCAAGGCGACGACGGGUAGCCGGCCUGAGAGGGUGUCCGGCCACACUGGGACUGAGAUACGGCCCAGACUCCUACGGGAGGCAGCAGUGGGGAAUAUUGCACAAUGGGCGAAAGCCUGAUGCAGCGACGCCGCGUGGGGGACGACGGCCUUCGGGUUGUAAACCUCUUUCACCAUCGACGAAGGUCCGGGUUUUCUCGGGCUGACGGUAGGUGGAGAAGAAGCACCGGCCAACUACGUGCCAGCAGCCGCGGUAAUACGUAGGGUGCGAGCGUUGUCCGGAAUUACUGGGCGUAAAGAGCUCGUAGGUGGUUUGUCGCGUUGUUCGUGAAAUCUCACGGCUUAACUGUGAGCGUGCGGGCGAUACGGGCAGACUUGAGUACUGCAGGGGAGACUGGAAUUCCUGGUGUAGCGGUGGAAUGCGCAGAUAUCAGGAGGAACACCGGUGGCGAAGGCGGGUCUCUGGGCAGUAACUGACGCUGAGGAGCGAAAGCGUGGGGAGCGAACAGGAUUAGAUACCCUGGUAGUCC
rnacentral:rRNA from 1 species